AUCAGUGGCGAACGGGUGCGUAACACGUGGGCAACCUGCCCCUCACUCUGGGAUAACUCCGGGAAACCGGGGCUAAUACCGGAUACUCCGGCCGAACCGCAUGGUUCAGCCGGGAAAGGUCCGCCGGUGAGGGAUGGGCCCGCGGCCUAUCAGCUUGUUGGUGGGGUAACGGCCUACCAAGGCGACGACGGGUAGCUGGUCUGAGAGGACGACCAGCCACACUGGGACUGAGAUACGGCCCAGACUCCUACGGGAGGCAGCAGUGGGGAAUCUUGCGCAAUGGGCGAAAGCCUGACGCAGCGACACCGCGUGAGGGACGAAGGCCCUCGGGUUGUAAACCUCUUUCGGCAGGGACGAAGCGAUCGUGACGGUACCUGCAGAAGAAGCUCCGGCUAACUACGUGCCAGCAGCCGCGGUAAGACGUAGGGAGCGAGCGUUGUCCGGAUUCAUUGGGCGUAAAGAGCGCGCAGGCGGUUCGGUAAGUCGGUUGUGAAAUCCCGGGGCUCAACCCCGGAAUUGCGUCCGAAACUGCCGGACUAGAGGUAGGUAGGGGAGAUCGGAAUUCCUGGUGUAGCGGUGGAAUGCGCAGAUAUCAGGAGGAACACCGGUGGCGAAGGCGG
rnacentral:rRNA from 1 species